CCAAAGUGCAAAUUUGGAGACGCACCUUGAGAGGUGCCGGGGCUUCUCCCCC
rnacentral:tRNA from 1 species